rnacentral:rRNA from 1 species
AGCGAACGCUGGCGGCAGGCCUAACACAUGCAAGUCGAGCGAUCCUUCGGGAUAGUGGCGGACGGGUGAGUAACACGUGGGAACGUGCCCUUUGGUUCGGAACAACUCAGGGAAACUUGAGCUAAUACCGGAUGUGGCCUUCGGGGGAAAGAUUUAUCGCCAUGGGAGCGGCCCGCGUCUGAUGAGCUAGUUGGGGAGGUAAUGGCUCACCAAGGCGACGAUCAGUAGCUGGUCUGAGAGGAUGAUCAGCCACACCGGGACUGAGACACGGCCCAGACUCCUACGGGAGGCAGCAGUGGGGAAUCUUGCGCAAUGGGCGAAAGCCUGACGCAGCCAUGCCGCGUGAAUGAUGAAGGUCUUAGGAUUGUAAAAUUCUUUCACCGGGGACGAUAAUGACGGUACCCGGAGAAGAAGCUCCGGCUAACUUCGUGCCAGCCGCCGCCGUAAGAC